AUUGAACGCUGGCGGCAGGCCUAACACAUGCAAGUCGAGCGAGCGGCGGACGGGUGAGUAAUGUAUGGGGACUGCCCGAUAGAGGGGGAUAACUACUGGAAACGGUGGCUAAUACCGCAUACUAUCGGAUAACCCAUAUGGGAUUAGCUAGUAGGUAAGGUAAUGGCUUACCUAGGCGACGCUCCCUAGCUGGUCUGAGAGGAUGAUCAGCCACACUGGGACGGAUACACGGCCCAGACUCCUACGGAGGCAGCAGUGGGGAAUAGUGCACAAGGGGCGCAAGCCUGAUGCAGCCAUGCCGCGUGGAUGAAGAAGGCCCUAGGUUUGUAAAGUACUUUCAGUCGGGAGGCGUUACCGACAGAAGAAGCACCGGCUAACUCCGUGCCAGCAGCCGCGGUAAUUC
rnacentral:rRNA from 1 species